GGUGGCUCAGUGGUAGAGCGCUUUGCCUUGCAUGCAUGAGGCCUUGGGUUUGAUUUCCCAGCACCA
rnacentral:tRNA from 1 species